AUUGAACGCUGGCGGCAUGCCUUACACAUGCAAGUCGAACGGCAGCGCGGGGCAACCUGGCGGCGAGUGGCGAACGGGUGAGUAAUAUAUCGGAACAUACCCUAGAGUGGGGGAUAACGUAGCGAAAGUUACGCUAAUACCGCAUACGCACUAAGGUGGAAAGUGGGGGAUUCGCAAGAACCUCAUGCUCAUGGAGUGGCCGAUAUCUGAUUAGCUGGUUGGUGAGGUAAAGGCUCACCAAGGCGACGAUCAGUAGCUGGUUUGAGAGAACGACCAGCCACACUGGAACUGAGACACGGUCCAGACUCCUACGGGAGGCAGCAGUGGGGAAUUUUGGACAAUGGGGGCAACCCUGAUCCAGCAAUGCCGCGUGAGUGAAGAAGGCCUCGGUUGUAAG
rnacentral:rRNA from 1 species